rnacentral:misc_RNA from 1 species
GAAACUCGUUAGAUAAAGGUUCGGCUUGCUCGACUCAAUUCCUUUAAAACUUUUUUUUUUAAAUUAAUCAAACUUGAAUUUAUUGAUAUUAGGUUCGAAUUCCAUAUGAAUUGAACUUAAAUUCGGUUUGAACUCAAAAAUAUUUUGGAGAAUCAAGUUCUGAAAUUCUUCAAAACUCGGUUUGAUUCGUUUACCGCAUCCAGCAAGCUUGUUUAGGGCACAACAAUCUUAAUUUGAACAAACAUAUCUGAAACUGGAACGGCGUUAGAUUAUCAUUUUUGAGCUGUCGCGAUCCUGUGGUCGAUGGCGAAAAUCGCGUUAGGAUGCGACCCAGUGGUGGGUUCACUCGCCUCCUCCAAGAAGAGGGAGUACAGAGUCACUAACAGACUGCAGGAGGGCAAGCGUCCCCUCUACGCCGUCGUUUUCAACUUCAUCGACUCUCGUUACUUCAACGUCUUCGCCACCGUGGGCGGCAACCGGGUCUGUACCGCUCUUUCUUUUCCUUUCCAACACCUUGUUUUCUUGCCAACGAAACCGCCCCUUUUUUUAUUUAGCCCUACUUUGGUUAUUAAUUAGAAUUUUUCUGAUUGGGAUUGUUAUUUAGAAUCUCCACCUUGUUCAAGGUUCAAUUUCAUUAAAUGUUUGUUCAUCUUAGCUGAAUUUUGUAGUCUUGAAUUGCCAUAAUGUAAAGUACAAACCUCCAAAAUGAAGGAUUUUUGGCUGUUCAAAAAUCCCUGUUCUUGUUGGAAUUUUUACCUUAGUAAUCAGAGUGGCAAUGCUUGCUUGUUUCCAUUUUCGUGUUUCUCUUUUUCUCUUCUUUGAUAAUAUACAAUCUUAUUUCUAUUUUUUACAGGUGACUGUUUAUCAAUGUCUUGAAGGAGGCGUCAUAGCGGUUUUGCAAUCGUAUGUUGAUGAAGAUAAGGAUGAGUCUUUUUAUACGGUGAGCUGGGCAUGUAACGUUGAUGGAACUCCAUUUGUUGUAGCUGGAGGAAUCAAUGGUAUCAUCCGUGUAAUUGAUGCGAGCAAUGAGAAGAUACACAAGAGUUUUGUUGGCCAUGGAGAUUCAAUAAAUGAAAUCAGAACUCAGCCCCUGAAACCUUCACUUGUGGUGUCUGCAAGCAAAGAUGAAUCAGUUCGACUGUGGAAUGUUCACACUGGAAUUUGCAUUUUGAUAUUUGCUGGAGCUGGGGGUCAUCGGAAUGAAGUUCUGAGUGUGGACUUCCAUCCAUCAGACAUAUAUCGGAUUGCAAGUUGUGGAAUGGACAACACUGUCAAGAUUUGGUCAAUGAAAGAGUUUUGGACAUAUGUAGAGAAGUCAUUCACGUGGACAGAUCUUCCUUCAAAGUUCCCAACAAAAUAUGUACAAUUUCCUGUGUUCAUAGCUUCAGUUCAUUCAAACUAUGUUGAUUGUAAUAGAUGGCUUGGUGACUUUAUCCUGUCAAAGAGUGUUGACAAUGAGAUUGUGCUAUGGGAGCCAAAGAUGAAGGAACAGUCUCCUGGGGAGGGUACUGUUGACAUUCUUCAAAAAUACCCUGUUCCUGAAUGUGAUAUUUGGUUCAUCAAGUUUUCUUGUGAUUUCCAUUACAAUGCAGCUGCUAUAGGGAAUAGGGAAGGAAAGAUCUAUGUUUGGGAAUUGCAAAGUAGUCCCCCUGUUCUCAUUGCAAGGCUAUCUCAUAGUCAAUCCAAAUCUCCGAUUAGACAAACUGCAAUGUCAUUUGAUGGGAGCACCAUACUUAGCUGCUGUGAGGAUGGAACCAUAUGGCGUUGGGAUGCAGCAUCAUCUUCCUAGGUCUAGCCAAGUGUAUCCGACCGAUUCCUAUCAUAGCUUAUUUUUGGCAUAGUAGUUUGUGGAUAUUUUCAUGUGCUGC